rnacentral:lncRNA from 1 species
GGGGGGAGGGGGAGGGGGUAUUACAAUUGAUUAAGUUAGUUUAUAUAUCGGGUUCACAACAACACAAAUGUGGAAAUAAUUGGAAGGACAGGACUUUUCUCCUUUCGUUAUAGAAAACCACCAACGUACUUAUGUUUAUCUUCAGGCGCAUGCCUAAUCAAAGUUUCCAAAAUAAAUAUAUGUAAAAUUUUUAAUCAAAACAUAAUUAUAACAAAAU